rnacentral:tRNA from 1 species
AUGUAGUUCAGUGGUUAAGAGCACUUAUUGCUCUUCCAGAGAACCUGGGUUCGAUUCCCAGCAU